UUUAUGGAGAGUUUGAUCCUGGCUCAGAGUGAACGCUGGCGGCGUGCCUAAUACAUGCAAGUCGAACGAUGAAGCUUCUAGCUUGCUAGAAUGCUGAUUAGUGGCGCACGGGUGAGUAACGCAUAGGUCAUGUGCCUCUUAGUUUGGGAUAGCCAUUGGAAACGAUGAUUAAUACCAGAUACUCCCUACGGGGGAAAGAUUUAUCGCUAAGAGAUCAGCCUAUGUCCUAUCAGCUUGUUGGUAAGGUAAUGGCUUACCAAGGCUAUGACGGGUAUCCGGCCUGAGAGGGUGAACGGACACACUGGAACUGAGACACGGUCCAGACUCCUACGGGAGGCAGCAGUAGGGAAUAUUGCUCAAUGGGGGAAACCCUGAAGCAGCAACGCCGCGUGGAGGAUGAAGGUUUUAGGAUUGUAAACUCCUUUUGUUAGAGAAGAUAGUGACGGUAUCUAACGAAUAAGCACCGGCUAACUCCGUGCCAGCAGCCGCGGUAAUACGGAGGGUGCAAGCGUUACUCGGAAUCACUGGGCGUAAAGAGCGCGUAGGCGGGAUAGUCAGUCAGGUGUGAAAUCCUAUGGCUUAACCAUAGAACUGCAUUUGAAACUACUAUUCUAGAGUGUGGGAGAGGUAGGUGGAAUUCUUGGUGUAGGGGUAAAAUCCGUAGAGAUCAAGAGGAAUACUCAUUGCGAAGGCGACCUGCUGGAACAUUACUGACGCUGAUUGCGCGAAAGCGUGGGGAGCAAACAGGAUUAGAUACCCUGGUAGUCCACGCCCUAAACGAUGGAUGCUAGUUGUUGGAGGGCUUAGUCUCUCCAGUAAUGCAGCUAACGCAUUAAGCAUCCCGCCUGGGGAGUACGGUCGCAAGAUUAAAACUCAAAGGAAUAGACGGGGACCCGCACAAGCGGUGGAGCAUGUGGUUUAAUUCGAAGAUACACGAAGAACCUUACCUAGGCUUGACAUUGAGAGAAUCCGCUAGAAAUAGUGGAGUGUCUGGCUUGCUAGACCUUGAAAACAGGUGCUGCACGGCUGUCGUCAGCUCGUGUCGUGAGAUGUUGGGUUAAGUCCCGCAACGAGCGCAACCCCCUUUCUUAGUUGCUAACAGGUCAUGCUGAGAACUCUAAGGAUACUGCCUCCGUAAGGAGGAGGAAGGUGGGGACGACGUCAAGUCAUCAUGGCCCUUACGCCUAGGGCUACACACGUGCUACAAUGGGGUGCACAAAGAGAAGCAAUACUGCGAAGUGGAGCCAAUCUUCAAAACGCCUCUCAGUUCGGAUUGUAGGCUGCAACUCGCCUGCAUGAAGCUGGAAUCGCUAGUAAUCGCAAAUCAGCCAUGUUGCGGUGAAUACGUUCCCGGGUCUUGUACUCACCGCCCGUCACACCAUGGGAGUUGUGUUUGCCUUAAGUCAGGAUGCUAAACUAGCUACUGCCCACGGCACACACAGCGACUGGGGUGAAGUCGUAACAAGGUAACCGUAGGUGAACCUGCGGUUGGAUCACCUCCUUU
rnacentral:rRNA from 1 species